rnacentral:rRNA from 1 species
GAUGAACGCUAGCGGCAGGCCUAACACAUGCAAGUCGAGGGGUAGUAAGUGCUUGCACUUAUGAGACCGGCGCACGGGUGCGUAACGCGUAUGCAAUCUACCUUGUACAGGGGGAUAGCCCAGAGAAAUUUGGAUUAAUAUCCCAUAGUGUUUUAGAGUGGCAUCACUUUAUUACUAAAGAUUUAUCGGUACAAGAUGAGCAUGCGUCCCAUUAGUUAGUUGGUAAGGUAACGGCUUACCAAGACGAUGAUGGGUAGGGGUCCUGAGAGGGAGAUCCCCCACACUGGUACUGAGACACGGACCAGACUCCUACGGGAGGCAGCAGUGAGGAAUAUUGGGCAAUGGAGGCAACUCUGACCCAGCCAUGCCGCGUGCAGGAAGACGGCCCCUAUGGGUUGUAAACUGCUUUUGUACGGGGAAGAAAACACUCCUACGUGUAGGAGCUUGACGGUACCGUAAGAAUAAGGAUCGGCUAACUCCGUGCCAGCAGCCGCGGUAAUACGGAGGAUCCAAGCGUUAUCCGGAAUCAUUGGGUUUUAAAAGGGGUUCCGUAGGCGGCCUUAUGAGUCAGUGGUGAAAUCUCCUAGCUCAACUAGGAAACUGCCAUUGAUACUGUAGGGCUUGAAUUUUUGUGAAGUAACUAGAAUAUGUAGUGUAGCGGUGAAAUGCUUAGAUAUUACAUGGAAUACCAAUUGCGAAGGCAGGUUACUAACAAACGAUUGACGCUGAUGGACGAAAGCGUGGGGAGCGAACAGGAUUAGAUACCC